AAAACGGGAAAAUGUAUGAAAAUGAUGGUUUUCUAAUGUAAUUCAGUUAAAAAUAUUCGUAGACUAGACAUUUUGACAGAAAUCAUAUUUUUUUUAUAUCAAAAUUUAAUUUUGCGAACCGAACUUCGCUCUGAAUCGUUUUUAAUUAUCAAUGGUUUAUCGUUGAUUACAGGUAUAAUAAAUAACUCUAUGUAUCUUACCUUCCCAAAUACCCACUUACAGUAGAGGGUGUACCAAUCUUCAGGAUCAGUAUUUUUAAAAAUAGUUUACAAGAAUGACUAUAUUGAAAGAAUCUAAGGUUUUGAGUAGUUUUCCCGUUUCAAAAAAAGUGAAGUGAUGACCAACCUCUCUUUUCGAAACGAGUUUGUCUCCAACUAAGGGCUGAUUUCAAAACUGAUGAAAUAUUUGGCUUCAGAAUCCGUAUAAAUGUAUAAAUUGAUGAACAAUAAUAUGCAUGCUUUGUUUCAAAAUUCAAAAAUAUGCUUUACUUGCCUAUGCCCCUAUUUUCCAUAAGUGGCACUUAUAUCGAUCGCUAUAGUCUAAAAUUCUAAAUCUAAUAUUCGAAAAUUAUUACUUUAUUUUUAAAACGUUUAAAUUUUUAAUAAUAUAAAUUUAAUAUAGGCAACAAAUCCAUUACUUUACUACGGAAAUGUUCCGCAAGCUAAUCACGUUUAUUAUAGAAAUUGCGCGCCUGCGGUAAAUUGCAAUUCAAAUUCCGUAUACAGGACAUUUAAUGGCAGGUGUAAUAACCUAAAGAAUCCUCUGUGGGGUUCUACCAGCACCCCAUAUGUUAGACUCGUCACGGGCGUGUAUUCUGACGGUAAGUACUUAUAAUCAAACUGAACAAAAUAUAAUAAACGAGUAGGUAUUAAUUUAAUAGUUAUUAAUUUUGUUGUAUUGGACGAAUGGUGUUAGGUGACCAUGCGUUUCGGUACCAAACAGACGGUACGCGGUUACCCGGACCUCGUGAGUUGCAGCUCGCAUUAUUUUUGUAUAGAUCACGUCCGGAUUUUCCAGACAUUUAUAACUACCACGUGAAUCAAUUUGGUCAAUGGACGGCUCAUGAUAUCACUCUUCUGCUAUCUGAUACUUCAGGUAAAUGGAACGAGGGUGAUUUACUAACUAUAGAAUAAUUAUUAUUACGUACCUUCUUUCAAUAUCAAUUUACAAUACAACAUAAAUUUUUUGUCAAAUGUCAAGUCUUUAUGAAUAUUUUAGUUGUAACUGAAUUACAAUCAAAGAAAACAAUUGAAAAUAAUGAUACAAUUCCAUGAACUUUCCCGUUCUUUCGGUUUGUUCGAUUAUUAGCAAAACUACACGGACAAUUUUUUAAAAAAAACGACUUUCUUACACACCAACUAGAUCAAAGAUUUAGUAAAUUGGCGUAUUGAAACUGGCGUUUCAGUAAAACAAUAGAUUUUUAAUUGAUGUAAGAUUUUUGUUUUUUCCUAAUUAUAAUGAAAACUGCUCGGAAAAUUAAAAAAUGACCUUCUUAAUGAACCAACUAAAUCAAAAAUGCAACAAAAAGGCUUUAUUGUCAUUUUUCGAUUGGAAAAGCGUUUUGGUAGAAAAGUUGCUCUCAGACACAAACAAAAAAAUCACAUAUCAUAGUAAAACCAAUAAAUCACUUGUUCCGGUUAGAAUCUAAAAUAAAUAUUAAACAAUUUGCUAAUGAAGAUAUUCUCGUAUCAAAAUAUAAAUAGAAAGUUUGUUUAAAAUUAUAAACAGGACCAAAAAGCUGUUGUGAUAAUCGUACACCCCCUCAAUGCCAAGAAGUUAUUGAGAUACCUGCCAAUGAUCCGGUAUAUAGUAAAAUUGGUCAACGAUGUAUGGAAUUUAGACGCGCAAUGACAUCUUCACUUAAUUACAACUGUAAGAUUACUCCUCAAAUAUCGGUUAGUAUUCAUAGAAAUUAAUAUGACUUUUAAUUUUAAUUUUAAAUAAACAGAGUAUAAAGAGUAUGAAUUUGGAGUAUUAGGACAAGACAGCUAACUACAAUAAGCAGGUACGUAACAUACGAGGUUCAGAGUUUUAAGGAUAAUUUUUAUAAAAAAAAUAAAUGGUGGCUUUGAUGAGGAUUUGAAACUAACGAUUAAUAGUGGAUGAACAAUGCGGAGAGAAAUUUCAGGGGUUACAAGAGAAUUCUAAUGUGACUUAAAAGUAAGUUCUACAAAAGUGUGGGUAGAUCGACUAUCUUGUUUAAGUGUAUAAGUGUAGUGGAGAUGAAAAAUUUUUAGGUAGAGGAGUGGAUUGACGAGAGAAGAUAGAAUAAGAAAUUAGUACAUAAGAGGUAGCUUAGCUAUUUGAUAGUAGAGAAGAUAUGAGAAAAUAGAUUGUUUAGGCAUAUCGUUAGGACAGAGAAAUCUAAAACAGUAAGAAAUUAAAAUUAAAAUAAAAGUAGGAAAGGAGAGAGUAAAACCGAAAAAGAGGUUAUUGGAUGUGAUUGAGAAUAAUUGAGUAAAAUUGAUAGUUGGUGUAUGCAAGGUAGGAGAUCGAGUCAAGUGGAAGUUUAGGAAGAAGAUAGGUGACCCUAAAAAAUUAUAAAACAUAAAGUUACAUUUUAAGAAGAUAUUUUUCACAUAUUUGAUAAACUUAAAAAAUGUUUAAGUGAAUUAAUAGUAUGUCAAAUUUUCUAUGGAAUACAUUUUACUUUAUACAGAGUUUUAAUGGUUUUUAUAAAUGUAAAUUUCUUUUACUUGCAGAUGAAUCAAGCAACAUCGUUUAUUGAUUCUUCACAAUUGUAUGGACACACACCAGAAAAGGCAGCUUCACUUCGUACUUAUAGGGAUGGUAGAUUAAUAACUGAAAACAUAAACGGCCAAGAGUUCAAUCCUCAACAAGAGAGAAGUGGAUCGGAAUGUGCGGGCCGGAAUAACGUAGAUGUAUGUUUUGACGGAGGUAUUAUUUAUUAUUAUUAUUAUUAUUAUGAGAUUAUAGAGUAUGUACAUUGUACACUAUAAAAAAUACUGACAUAUUUCGCAAGACGGGUGGGCCACUGUUGUACGUGAGAAGUUGGGAAAGUAGGUUAUAUAGAGAGAAAUUAAUUUAUAUUUGUACGCAACGAAAAACCAUAUUGCUAACGAAAAACGAUUAAGAAAAAAAUUCGGUUAUACAUGUUUCGAAAGACCGUAAUAUUUAUGAUUUUCAUUAAAAUUUUAUAAUACAAUUCUUUUAAAAAAAACCUUGCAUUAAAUUAAAUUUUUUUUUGAACACAAAGUAUGACUUAUAAUGAACAUACUUGUAAAUUUUCAAGCAUUUUGGUUUUUCUUUAUCAUGUCUAGAAAAGGUAAUUAUAAGUUUUCUAUCCAAAUUUCAAGUCCUUACGAAUAUUUUUAAUUGCAUUAUAACAAAAACACAAAAUCGAAAAAAUAAUAAAAGCAUUAUUUUCGUAAAUUUUCUAAUUUUUUUCCAAUUAUUAUGAAAACAGCUUAGAAAAUCAAAAAAAUACUUAUUUGAAAUAUCAAAUAGUUAAAAUUAAGGUGCUUAGCUUGGUACACCGGAAUGAGGAUUCUGGUAGAAAAGUUGCUCACAGACAUAAAAAAAAAUAAAUAAAAUAAACUUUAUAAUAAUCUUUAUAAAACCAUAAGCUUCAUUUUUUUAUUCAGAAUCUAAACCAACCAAAAACAAAUUUACUUAAAAUCCUUCGAAAAAAUCGCUGUCCAUGAUAAAAAAAAAAUCAUUCUGUAUAAUGUAUACCUAAUUAUAUAUUAUAUGUUUAUUCAUAGGAGAUCCUCGAUUAAAUCAACACUUUGGCAUCACAUUGUACCAUACUAUGUUUACCAGGUUUCAUAAUUACAUCACCGGUCUGUUAAAGCGUGUAUGUUCUAGAUGGACAGACGAAAUUCUAUAUCAAGAAACCCGAAGGAUCAUUGGUGCAGCAAAUCAGAUAAUGGUUUAUCGAGAUUAUUUGCCUAUUUUACUUGGUAUUUAUUUUUUGAACACUCACCAAAUUUGAUUGAAGCUAAUUUCUUAUAAAAUAUUUUACUUUGAAUUAUUAAAAAUAUAUAUUUUUUAUUUUCUAAACAAAUACUUAAGUGCCUAUUAAAAAAAUAAAAUUGAAUAUAAAUUAGUUUAAAAUUACUAAAACUGAGUUGAUUAUAAUUGAUUAUUGAUAAAUUCUUUUCACAGGGAAACAGUUUACAGAACGUGUUGGUUUAGCUAUUUCCAGGGGUAGGAAAACUAGAUAUGAUCCAUUGCUCAUGCCUCAAUUAAGCAUAGAAUUUACGGCAAGUGCUUUUCGAGUACCUCAUAAUAUUUUGCCUUCAACAUACAAGUAAAUAUUUAUUUUUCUUGUUUCUCAUUAAAAUUUAUGUAACCUAUCCUAUUUGGUUUUUGAUAAAAUAGGUUUAUAAAUGAAAAUUAUAAUAUAAUGAGUUCAGUGAAACUGAACGAAUGGAUGUCAAAACCUGAUCCCAUAGUAAGACGGUCAAAUUUUGAUGAUAUACUCAGAGGAAUGACACAAACACCAGGGCGUGCACCAAAACCAUCGUACAAUUAUUUGGUAUUAUAUCAAUGGUAUCAUCGUCUCUCAAUGGAUAAUCUGAAUAGUUAUUUAAUUUAUUAUAGAUAUCGAAUUUCAUGUUUCGUUAUUUCAUGACUGGAAAUCAAGAUUUAUUGAGUGUAGAUAUUCAAAGAGGGCGCGAUGCUGGCGUACCGACAUAUAAUAGAAUAAGAAAAUUGUGCGGUUUCCCAAAAGCCACAUCAUUUAAGGAUUUAGCAGACGUUAUGUCGAUUUCAGUAAGUUUACAUAAAACUGUUUUACUAAAAACGAAUACAAAUAAUAAAGUUUUAAAACGUAAAACAUUUGUAUAAACUAUAACCGAAUAGGUAUUAAAAUGCGCAACAUAUUUUACCAAAAAAUUAAGUUCAGCGUUUUUAAUAAAAUAUCGGAAACGCUGACCAUAAUUUUAAACCAUAUGUGUACAGAAGACUUUUUAUUAUUUAACAUUAGUUUAUUUGUUUUGAGAACAUAAUCAUGGCUUCAAAUAGUUUUGUAAUAUUAAUGAACUAAUAAUAAUAAUAUAUAAUUGAAAAUUAAUAGUUUUGUCUGAAAUUGUGCAAGUACGCCACGAAUGUUGUAUUAAUGCCAAAUUUACACUAGGAUAAUAUAUUAAAAAAAAAUAUUAUAAUAGCUAGGCUUAUUAAAUUAUUUGUGUUUAGAUCUAUGAUUUAUCGUCUGUUUUAAAUAUUUAUAAAUUAUCUAUGUAUAAAACAUAAUUAUAAACCAUUAAUGUGACUAGUUCUGCUGGUGAAAAAGAAGACUUUUUAGAAAUGAGAUAAAAAAAAUACAUUUUAUAUCUCUGCACGGUUCAGUAAUCUCACGUGCUCUCAUAAUAUACGACUACUAAUACUAAUUUGAAGUUUCUAUAUUUAUUAUUUUUUACCACAUUGUAACUGUUUAUUAAACUAUUAACCAAUAGUGAUACCAAUACUGAAUAUUAUUUUUAUUUCAUUCAAAUAAAUACUUAUUAUUAAAUUUGAAUGUAUUUUUUUGUUAUAAGUUUGGUAAUUAGGUACCUACAUAUAAAGUGUUUGCCUAAAUUUGUAAUGUAUCUUUUCCAAUCAAGGAUAUAAGGAAACUAGAAAAAUUAUACGCAAGUAUUGACGAUGUGGAUUUACUUGUGGGGGCGUUACUUGAACCACCAUGUCCGGAAGCAAUGGUCGGCCCAACCGCCAGAUGCGUCAUAGCUGAUGUAUUUUACCGUCUUCGGUAUGGCGACCGUUUCUUUUUCGAUGUAGAAAAUCAACCAGGAAGUUUUUCUCAUGGUAAGUAAUUGUAUUGUUAUAAUUUAUUCCUAGUUUCCCCAAGUUAAUAAUCAUAUUUAUGUCUAAUAUUAGAACAAUUAAAUGCUCUGAGAAAUAUCGAUCUGGGACAUGUAUUUUGUGCUGGCUCUGGGAUAAAUGAAGUACCAUUCGACAUUUAUGGACCACAAGAGCAAAGGUUAAUACCUAUAAUAAUAUAGAUACGUAUCAAUUUUAUUAUUAGAUAAAUAUUAAUAUUUUUUAAUAAAAUAAUAAAGUAAAAAUAAAAUAAAUAAAUGAAUGUAUCGCCUGGAGUGUUAUGAAAUGUAUAAAGUACGAUCGGUUUCGAAUCAUAAAUUCAUCGUCAAGUAAAAUCACAAAGUCAAACGCGAUUCAAAGACUUUUUGAUUUUACCUGACGAUGAAUUUUUGAUUCGAAACCGAUCGUACAAUACACAUUUCAUAAUACUCCAGGCGACGCAUUAAAUAAUUAAUUAAUUUGUAUAAAUAUUUUUUAAUUAUAACUAUAAACCUAAGAUGUUUAAAUAUUCAUUAAUUUUUUGAUCAAAUUUCGAUUUCAAUCCUUUUGUCAAAUACAGUUUUGAUUUUUUUAAGUAUGAUUAUUAAUUUUAGUAAAAGUUUUAUUUUCAAAUACUGAGGGAAGUGGGAAAUGUAUUAGUUUACAUUGUUUAUUUAUUUAUUUUUUAUAUAUGUAUAAAAAUGUUACCAGAAAUCUUAUUUUGAUUUACAAGUGAAGCACCUUUUCUAAAAAAAAUCUAAUUGUUACUUUAAGAGGUAAUUUUUUGAUUUUCUAAGCGUUUUUCAUAAUAAUCGGGAAAACUUGGGAAAAAUGUAAGAAAAAAGUUGUCCUAGGAUAAUGUAGACGGGUCUUGCCACUGUUUUAAGUGGUAAGAUGGAAAGAUAGGAUACAGAAGAGAAUUUAAUAUAUAAGGAACGAUAAAUCAUUGCUAACGAAAAAACGAUUCUGAGCGGAGUUCAGUUGAUAUUGAUUUUUGUUUCAAAAAUAUAUACUAUGGUAAAAUAAUUAAAUAGACAUUAUAUAUUUUUUAUAACAAUAUUUGUUUAAUAUUUAACGGAUUUCCCGUUUUUCCUACGUUUUUCGCGGUUUCUCAUGUUUUUCCAAGUUUUCCACUUUUUCUGGGAAACAUUUUGGGAAAAUCAAAAAAUAAAAUCUUUAAAGUACCUUUCCAGUUAAAAUUCCUUGAAAAAAGAAAAAGUUCUAUCGUUGAAAAUUGGAUCAAAAUUUCUGGUAGAAAAGUAGUUUAUAAGAAAAAUAAGGCCAAAAUAUUUUUCUACUAAUAUCUACAUUUCGUACCUUUUCCCGAUUUUACUGUAUUUUUUUUUGGUUUUUUCCAUUUGUUUAGAAAACUCCUUGUAAAAUUAAAAAAUAAUUUUCCUAAAGUACCACCGCAGUAAGAUUUCCUUUCAGAUGAAGUACUACAAUUGUAAAUUAAAGCACUAUUUCUGUUAGAAAAAUUGUUCAAUGAUAAAAAAAAAAAAUAAAUAAACAUUAUUGUAAAAUCAUAAGCUUCUUCGCUCCACUUUAAAAUUUAGGAAAAUAAUGUUUUUUAUUUUUAAUUUUGUUUUUUUUUUUUUUUGUAAUUCAAUAACAGAUUCAGUUUACAGAAAACUUAUGUUUGCCUUUUCUAGAAGUAGUCAAAUUUUCAAAACAUUUGAGCCAUUUUUGAGUUUUGUAUAGGCAUUUAAAUUUUACGAAUUUUUUUUCAGUAGGUUCCACUCUGUGAAUAGAAUUGUUAGACCAAACAAAAAUAUUAGAAAAUUUAACUGGAAGUUCAUUAUAAGUUGUACUCUCAGCUCAGAAUAAUUUUUCGUUAGCAGUGAUUAAUCGUUGCGUACAGAUAUACAUUAAAUUCUCCUUUAUGUCCUUUAUAUAAUUUAACCUUCCAAUUUUUCACCUACAAUAGUAGCCAACCGCCACCCAUUGUGUGAAGUAUUCCCGUCUCUUUUUUUUAAAAUUUAAUUAUCAUUAAUAAAUAUAUUAUUAUAUUUUAAAGAUAUUCGGGAAUGCGGAAUUGCAAACAACAUUUAUACAAAUUGGAUUUUAGUGCUUGGAGACGUUAAUGUUUUACUAUUAUACUAUAAAAACACAAAUUAUAUUAUAAAUUAAUGUAAAAUUCAAGAAUGUAGUAUAAUUUAAUGUAACGAUUAUGUAAAAUAAAUAUUUGUACCC